rnacentral:rRNA from 1 species
GACGAACGCUGGCGGCGUGCCUAAUACAUGCAAGUCGAGCGAAUGGAAGGGAGCUUGCCCCCUGAAGUUAGCGGCGGACGGGUGAGUAACACGUGGGCAACCUGCCUGUAAGACUGGGAUAACUUCGGGAAACCGGAGCUAAUACCGGAUACGUUCUUUCCUCGCAUGAGGAAAGAUGGAAAGAUGGUUUCGGCUAUCACUUACAGAUGGGCCCGCGGCGCAUUAGCUAGUUGGUGGGGUAACGGCCCACCAAGGCGACGAUGCGUAGCCGACCUGAGAGGGUGAGCGGCCACACUGGGACUGGGACACGGCCCAGACUCCGACGGGAGGCAGCAGUAGGGAAUCUUCCGCAAUGGACGAAAGUCUGACGGAGCAACGCCGCGUGAGCGAAGAAGGCCUUCGGGUCGUAAAGCUCUGUUGUCAGGGAAGAACAAGUGCCAGAGUAACUGCUGGCACCUUGACGGUACCUGACCAGAAAGCCACGGCUAACUACGUGCCAGCCGCCGCCGUAA